UGGAUGGAUGGAUGGAUGGAUGCAUGAAUGCAUGGAUGCAUGGAUGCAUGAAAGAAUGAAGGAAAGAAAGAAGGAAAGAAAGAAAGAAAGCCUGUCCCUUACUAAUGACAGAAAUGUGUUUGCGUGAUGUAACUGUAUUCCUCCGGUUGGUCGAGGUGACAGUCUGGGGAACAUCUACAGCUUCUCGCUAUGAAACCAAUUAAAAAGAAAAACGUGCAAAGACAAAGUGAAUUUGUAUAAAUCACAUUUAUUCUAAUCUAAUAUACAUUUACGUUUAUUAGACAAAACAACCAAUAAUUCCAAUUUUCCUAUUGAAUUUUCCAUUAUUUAUAAGCAAUUUGUAACCAUAACAAACAGAAUAUUGACUUUAAACAAUGAAUUUAUAAUAAUUAGGGCUUGAUGGUGAUACAUUUCCAUAAGGCAGGUGCACAGAGACUACAGACUGAUACUAUAAUAAUAUUUGGUCGGAGCAGCAUUGAUGCCUGAUUUCACAAAUCCAGAUGAGGCAUCAUUAGAUAUGCAGGAAGCUUGACAGCCAACAUGUUACAUUAUUCAUCCUUGGAACAUUUUCCCCUCCGUGCUACGUCUGUUGACACACGGAGACACAGAAAAAUGUGUCUACAAAAUUCCUUUUUCAUUUUGGCGGCAAUGACAUGAUAUGCAAAUGUUUGGGGAUGUAAAUGAACAUUGGUCAACUGAAUUUAAAUGGUGAUAUUAUGGUGCACAAAUGUUUUGGAGGUUCAAAUCAGAAUCAAAGCAGCUCCCAGACAGAUCUAAUGAAACUUCCUGCAGUAGGAAUGUUUGGUGCGUGCAUGUACAGGUUAUGAUAUAGGUCUCUAAUUAUUACUGGUGAAAUCACCAGGCUCAGAUUUGAUAGUUAGCUGACAGUCUGACCUUUUUUCAGUUGUCACGCUGUCCAACCAUCAGAAACAACCUGACCUUCACUAGAUGGUACCAUCAGAAGACUGCUUCCAGGACUUUUAAUCUAAACAUUUCCUUUCAAAUACCGUAUUUUCCAGAGUAUGAGUCGCACCAGCCAUAAAAUGUAUAAUGAAGAAGAAAAAAACUUAUAUAAGUCGCACUGGACUAUAAGUCGCAUUUUGGGGAAAAAUUUUAUUACUUUUCUUACAAAAUCUGAGACCAAGCGUUUCACAUUGCAAGACAAGUACCGGUAACAGUAACGGAAUAAACAACCAGGGUGCAGCAGCAUGCCACGGUCUCCAGCAGAGGAUAGCAGUGUUUCAAACCCUCCCAGCGGGAUGGGGAGCUCAUUCCUGGGUCGGAGCCGGCCCGCAGCAGGGCGGUAUACAUAAUUUGGUACAUAAGUCGCAGGACCAGCCAGACUAUGAAAAAAGUGCGACUUAUAGUCUGGAAAAUACGGUAAACAUUAAACCCGUUUCCACUACCGGAGCCGCCGGGUAACUUUACCGGACAUGCACAUGUCUCCACUUCACCGGGCCAGCCCAAAAGGCACUUUUCCGGGCCAAUCGAAGACCUGAACUGGGAUAUAGGGAGCAAUCUUUGAUACCGCUGCUGUCUCUCUUUCUGUCGUGAACUCAAAAUUAACCAUUUAGAUGAACGCAAGUCCAUGGGGCUAAAAACGUUUUUUUCUAUUUCCGUUUGUUACGUGCCAAGGGUUUCACAUAUGAUGUUCAUGAAUUUUGAAGACACAUUCUGAUGCCAAGAAAGUGAUUAUUUUCAAACUGGGGCAAAGAUUAUUUUAGGUUUUGUGUGAAAAUACAUCCAGGUCGACAAACGCGCAUCACCAAAGCGACGUCAUUGGACCAGACAGGAGAAGAGUGGUGAAAAAAGCCACUAAGUUUUGCGAGCUUUGAAUCCUUUUGGGAGGAAAGAACCACCAUAAAUCUGGCCAUGUGGUAUGUAGCAGCUACGCUGGUGGAGAGGAGAUCCUGUGGUGACGUCUUAUAUCCAACAAGCUGACUUCUGAUGUGUUGUUAUAGCAAUUAUGAAUCUUUACGAGCUAAUCAAUUUCAUGUCUGGCAUGGUCAAAACGCAUCAUUACUUUUCAUUUAAAUUAGGGCAGAUACCGAUACCAGUAUUGGUGUUGGUAAAAGUUAACAGAUACCAAUGCAGUGGCCUGAAAGUGGCUUCACUGUAACUCAUCAUUUCUGUUCACCUAAUAUUUUAGUUUUGUUAUCAUUUAUAAUAAUAUUAUUUAUUAUUAUUUUUAAUUUACCUCACAGUCUUUUCCUGUAGAAAGCAGAGAAGAAAAUAAAACUUGUAUUCUGAUUCAUUAAAUUUUUUUGUGUGGUAAAAGUAUCGGUAUCGGCGAGUACUCAGAUCAAAGUUUCGGAAUCAGAUAGCGAUGGGUACCGAAUUCGGUACUUUUUAAGGCACUGACCGAAUUCCAUAGUACCGACUGAGCACCGAUUCACGUCAUUUGAAACGGUGCCUCGUUUCGGUACCCGUCCUUCAUAACGAGAACUUGCCUAGACAGCUGCGCAUGCGCAAGAGCGUUAUGUCGUCGGUCGCUGCGAGCCAGUUGUAAACAGAGCAGCAUGGUAGAAAGAACGCACGCUAAAGCUUGGAUCCACUUCACUAAAUGUGAUGGGUAACUGGGUGAUGAUGAAACCAGCGACAACGAUCUAAGUGAGACAUCCUCAUCUUAAUCUGCUCCGGUAGGUAAAUAAAAUGUUUAAGAUAACGUUAGCUUGAUAUGUUAGCUUCCGUUCCGCUAAUGGUACGUUCGUUUUCUCCUUGGAACUCCGAAUUUCCGACUGGAAGAACAUGAACGCGCUCUAAAGUUUGGCUUCACUUUACUAAAUGCGACGGGUGAUUGGGUGAAGAUGAAACCAGCGACAACGAUCUAAGUGUGAGGCAUCAUCGUUUUAAUCUGCUCCAGCAGCUAAAUAAACUGUUUAAGAUAACGUUAGCUUGAUAUGUUAGCUUCCAUUGCCACCGUUGUUAUCAGCUAAUGGUGCGUUCGCUUUCCCCUCGGAAAUUCUAACUUCCCAUUAGGAAAAAUCUAAUGAAAAAGGACGGCAAAAGGAAUGAAGAUACACAGUAAAUUUAGUUCACAGUAAAGAUGUUUGCUUCAGUUUAAUUAUCAGCUUAUAAAACUACAAGGACAAUGUUAAAAUUUAAACAGUUGUAUGUUAUUUAUCGUGAUAUUUAUCAAAUAUGGUUAUAUAUUGAGAAAAAUAUACAUUUAAUUAUAAAAGAGAAUUAAAAUAUUAAACACUCAAAAGUAUCUAAAAUUGGUACCAUUAAGUACCGGUAUCGAUUCCUAGGUACCGGGAAUUAGUACCAAAUCGAUUCAAAUGUCAAAGGUACCCAUCCCUAGUAUCAGAUCGGUUUGGACAAAAGUGGUAUUGGUGCAUCCCCAAUUUAAAUAGAACAUAUGUGUGAUUCAGGGCGUAAGGCAAAGCAGAUUUGAAAAUAGCUCUUCCACCGCGUUCACUUGCAUUAAUGUUUCUGUUCUUCCGAGGAGCCAUGAACCGACCGGAAAGGGAGGAGACUUAGGGCCGUGAUUAGAGCUGAAACAACUAAUCGAUUUAAUCGAUUAUAAUCGAUUAUUAAAAUAGUUAACAACUUUUUUAGUCAUCGAUUAGUUGUUUAAUAAUCAUAUUUUACCGCAUUAAGUCUAUUUUUACCACAAUCUGACAUCGGUUACAAGCUGUUAAAUUUGCCGCCAGUGUGUGGCAGUAAUGAGCCACUGAUCUACCAGUGGAGCCGUAGAAGAAGAAAUGAGCCAAUGAGUGCCCUCGGUUUUCAUGACGUAUCACGUUACUGACGCUCAUCUUGCUGUGAGAGAUGGCGGAACAAGAGGAAAUACGGAAGAAAAAUAGAAGCGACAAAAUUUUAGAGAAACCCCGGACAAAAACCUCACGAGUAUGGGAGCACUUCACUAGAUGCAUUGAAAAGGCAAAAUAUGCAAAAACCAUCUAGCAUGGCACGGAAGCACGACGUCCCUAAGUGAACAUUUGAGACGAAAACGUGGGGGCUGAGGAAGAGCACCGCGGUCAAGUGAGCCGUCAUUUGGAAGAGCCAGCCCGAAAAAAAACAAGCAACGAUGGACAACUACAUGGGGAAAGAGACACUCACCCCCCAGCAAUUCAUACCACUUACAAACUCUAUUCUAAACAUGCUGGUAAAAGACAUGAGGCCACUAUCCAUGGUGGAAGGAGCAGGCUUCCAGCUAAUGCUAAAAAAUUAUUCUGGACUGAUAUUUUGCACUGUUUAGCUCAUUUUAUACUGCUGACUGUGUUCAUGUGCAAUAAAAUAGAUUGCAGUCAACUGCACAA